rnacentral:rRNA from 1 species
AACGAACGCUGGCGGCAUGCCUAACACAUGCAAGUCGAACGAUCCCUUCGGGGAUAGUGGCGCACGGGUGCGUAACGCGUGGGAAUCUGCCCUCAGGUACGGAAUAACUCAGGGAAACUUGAGCUAAUACCGUAUAAUGACUUCGGUCCAAAGAUUUAUCGCCUGGGGAUGAGCCCGCGUCGGAUUAGCUAGUUGGUGAGGUAAAAGCUCACCAAGGCGACGAUCCGUAGCUGGUCUGAGAGGAUGAUCAGCCACACUGGGACUGAGACACGGCCCAGACUCCUACGGGAGGCAGCAGUGGGGAAUAUUGGACAAUGGGCGCAAGCCUGAUCCAGCAAUGCCGCGUGAGUGAUGAAGGCCUUAGGGUUGUAAAGCUCUUUUACCCGGGAAGAUAAUGACUGUACCGGGAGAAUAAGCCCCGGCUAACUCCGUGCCAGCAGCCGCGGUAAUACGGAGGGGGCUAGCGUUGUUCGGAAUUACUGGGCGUAAAGCGCACGUA